GGCCGCGUGGCCUAAUGGUUAAGGCGUUGGUUUUCGGUCACGUGUACACCAAAGAUUGGGAGUGAGUUCAGCGCGCCUGGUGGUUCGCCCAAUUGAUCAUUAACACGUUGUAGGUUCGAAUCUUCCCGCGGUCG